CAAGAGUUGCCAAUAUAAAAAAAACAUCAUUCGAAACAAAUCCGGGCCGCUUGGGCAUGACCUUCACCUCUCCUUUCUCGUCCAGCAGCGCUCCGUCAGUCCAAGCGUAGCCUUGCAUUCUUUGCGUCCCUAGAAACAACGUUGACGUGCACAAGCAAAGUCACGCAUCAUAAAUGCCGUUUAUUCUAAAAGAAAGAGUGAUUUACCGCUAAGCAGUAUGAAUCUGAGGCAGAAAAUUUAUUCAAGCUCUGAAGUCCCAAACAACUGAAAAUGCUCCAAAACACCAUCACGUGACCCUGGUAUUCUCAAAGUGCUGGUGAAAUAGCAGACACUACAUCUGUCUAUGAGCAAUGGACAGAACUGAGAAUACCUUAUCAUGAACAGUAGUGUGCACUGCUGGCAACAUCCUGUUUUUUUGGCACACAAUAGCAUCCCUCCUGAUCAAGUGAAAAGGAAUCCUAUGACACCGCUUGAUCUUUGUCUGACAUGGAAAUCUGCAAAUCAAUUAAUGGUGGAAGAAUAACAUCUGGUUAAAAAAAUUAUGUGGAAAAGUCAGCGGGUCAGAAAUCACCCACAUAACUGCUGUUAUCUGAACACAGUUCAGGUUUGAUAUCCAUGAACUUUUCAGGUAUUGAGGGGUUGUGGGGUCCAAAGUCAUCUGAAAAUUAUUGAACACAUGAAUAAUGGACAUGAAAUGUAAAUUACAACAUAAAAUAGAAUGGUCAUGUGUGUAAAGACAUGUCAUGUUCAAUGGUCACUUUCAAAUUUAUCUUCUUUUAAGGUGGUCGAAAAUAACAUGGCUACAAAUAUACCAACACACUUUUGUUGAUAUAUUUUAACCAAAUUCAGUCUGUAGAUGUGUUAUGUUCAGGUACCAAGCGCUGAAGUCAGCUAAUGUUUGUUUGUUUUAACCUUCAGUUGUUAAAAACUUUUACUUUUCUGACAAUCCCAGCCGUGGUGUCUCUAGAUUAAUGUUCACAAAAAUCAGUCCACCUUGGUGAUUCUGUGUUAGAAUAGGUCCACUGCAACCUAUCCUUGUUAUAAGGGACGAGUUAAGUGAUUGGGUGGUCAGGUUCGGUGACUUGGUUAGUUGCUUGUUAUUGUAACAAGAUGACAGUGAUAAUAUGACUGGUUUUUCCAGGCCAGACUGAAUUAUUUCCAGGUUAUCUUCAUAUAGCUGAUAAAAUAUAUAUGGCGGACUGCUGUGUUUAAUAAAACUAAGACAAUCACUGAAAUCGGAUCAGAUUCUAAAUAUGGCCGCCAUGUCAACCAUAUUGAAUUUGUCAAUGAUGCUAAAUUAUAUUACAUUGUACUUUGGGGCAUAGUAUGAUUUUUGUAACUGCUGUUACUUUUGUUCUUCACAUGUGCCCCCUUAUCUACAUUUAAUGCAUUUUCGUUUAGUCCUUUUGGUUUUAUGCAUAUACCGGUAAAUUGGAGUGAUGAAUGAAUUGGACAAAAUAUCAACACUGUAAAUGGUGACACAGGAGUGUAUUAAAUGUUAUGAAUUUAUCUAAGUGUUAUAAUAAAAAUGACUUUGAGAAAACAGCCACAUAAGUACCAUUUAUCAGAGCGGCAAAUCAGUUCUAGAAAUGUGAAUUUUAUUGGGAUUCCAAACUGUAUAUUUGUUCAAGAUAAGGAUUUGAAAUAUCUGAUGUUGGUUCUUUUUGUAAUGUUGGAAGAUAAACAUAAAUACAGUCAUCCCUUGCUAAAACACCCUUCAUGAUACCACAGAUUGGGUUAAACUUCAGGUAAAAUAUAUGGGUCACAUAAAUUUAAAUACUUCUCCUUUCCUUCCCCCCCCCCAAAAAAAACAAACAAACAACAACACAUUUUUAAGCAUAUCAACAAUUCUGCUCUGAAUUUAUGCAAGUUUUUUAUUUUUAUAAAUGUUUUUAUUGUUCCCAGAGUUGUAGAUUAAUACAGUAUUCCGUCAAAAACAUAUUUCGGUUUGCAUAGAAUGGCACAAUACACUCUUUAGAAUAUAAAAGGGUUGAAAACAAACAUUGUCCUAUUUCAAACCAAAAUGGUUGCAACACACAGUCAGACUCAAACAUAUCAUGUAUCAACAGAGAGCUAUGAAUCAAAUGCUGAGAAUAAAGGUAACCAUUUUUGUUAAAGUUACUUUUGUCAUCCUUUUUUAUAGCAAUAAAUUUCUCGAUUGAAUAUAUGUUUUUAAACAAUUUUAAAAGUAUAUCUAAUUUCGAUUUGGUUCCUUUAAUUCCACUUACAUGAAUAUGCCUUUUUCCCAAUAAAACUAUAUGAUUGAAUAAAGUAUUAGAGUAGUUAGAACCAAACCAAAUAAGAUAUUUUGUCAAUUUAAUUUUUUGUGGAAGAUAAUUGUUAAGGCAAAGUUCGAGAUCAUUCCAAAAUUGUUUAGUUUCAUUACAUUCCCAAAAGACAUGGCUGACGUCCUCAUUGACAGCAUUACAAAAGUUACAAACACAGUUGUCUACAAGAUUCAUUGUUAAUAGUUCCUUAUUUGUGUAGAUAAUUCCAUGUAGAAAUCUGUAUUGAAAAUCUAAAAGUUUUACAUCCUUCAGUUUAUAUCUAUAAACAGUAAAUAUCGUUUUCCAAUUAAAAUCACAGUGAAAAAUUGGUUGCCAUUUAUUACAAACUUUAAGAUUAUUUUCAUUUGAUAUUAAUUUAUCAUAAAAGAUUCUAGCGCCUUUUACAGGCUUAGUCAGAUCACUUAAGCAACUGUUUAUAUACAAAUUCUGUAAAAUAAUUUUCUAGUUUUCUUGAUUGUUAUUUUCCAUGAUUCUGGUAUAUGCAAUUUAUGCAAGUUAGUCCUGUUGUAAGGAUGUACAGAUGGUCAUGAAGAGUGUUCAUUGUAUACAUCUAGACUUUGGACAUAUGUUUGCAAUCUAUUUGAUUAAGUUUAGUCAUAUUUUUAUUUGAAAUACUAUGUGCUUCUUAAAACACUUGCCUUCAAAUAUUUGUACUUAUGUUUUUGAUCGUGCAACUUUCUAUGUACUUAUCGGGUUGGAAUGAUCAAAAGGGUAGCAGUUGCUAAGCAUAAUGCCAGAUAAUAAAUCUUGAAAGUGUGCUUUCACUAAUUGUUGUAUCAAUAGGCAGAGAAAUGUGUGAAUGUAAAAUAUUUGAAAUAUUUCAUUUGAGGUUUGAGAUUAAAUGCAAAUUUUACAGUAUUUUAAUGUCCAGGUUCGAGAUAUCGUCUGCAUGUCAAUCUACAAUGAUGAGUUAUCUGUUGUGAGCACCUCCUCAGAAACUACUGGACCACUGAAGCUGAAACUUCGCAUUUGUUGAUCACAUCAGAAUUUGUUCAAGACGUUCAAAUCCAAAUUCCAGUAUGAUCUUUGCACUUAAACUACACUGGUAGCUGAAACUUCUUAUUGCCAUUAUUCAGUCAGUUUUGUACAAGUUCUAAUGAAAUUUGGGAGUAAAAAAAUAUUUCUGAUUUUUCAUAAUUCAUAAUUUUGACCUUGCUUUAACCAUGCUUUUAAAUUCUAUCAAAAUGCAUAUUUGUGUAUGUUAUGGGAUUCAAAAAAUAUUUCUGGUUUUUCAUAAUUCAUAAUUUUGACCUUGCUUUGACCAUGCUUUUAAAUUCUAUCAAAAUGCAUAUUUGGCAAUGUAAACUUCUCUAAAUUUGCCAGACUGAGGGAGCUGAAUUUGUGCCGUGUGUGUUUCUCCUCAAGAUGACAGCAUGAUUUGUUCAGAUAUUUUAGUGUUUUUAGUCCUCAGUAUUUAUAUGGAAAAUAUAAAAAAUAUAUAUAUGCAGGGUAGCAAUGAUAGUCUCUGUAUAGUGGUUGUCUCUUUUGUCAUUAUAAAGUGUUGACUACAUGUCCAGGUGAGCUACACUGUUGUAGCACUAUUUUUAACCAGCCUAUGGGCUAUCAUUACCAAAUUCAUUCACCUAUCUUUGGCAAAUAUUGUAGCCUUAUAGAUAAGAAGAAUAAAAUAAUAAUCUGUAUGUUUAAAUUAUACAUUUAACUCGUUCAGUUUUUUUUUUUUGUGGUUUCAGAUAUCCGCUUUAAUGAAGUCAUGAACUGGACGCUGCGCUCUUGAUUCCAGCACUAAUAUUGUCAUGACCAAAUGUUAAUAAUUUUCAUAUUCAGCAAGUUGAAGAUGACUGACACCAUCUUUAAGUUUCACAAAUAUGUUAUUCAGAAGUUUUUUGUUUUCACUACUGAUUUAUAUAUAGUAUUAAAAAAUGGAUUUCUGCAAUAGAAUAAAGUAUUGAAAUACA